rnacentral:rRNA from 1 species
UUGGGGGGCAACCCCCCCACGAGGGUUUUUUGUUGGGGUUUUGAGGCCCCUUUCCCCCCACUGGGGCUCCCCCCCCCCCCGAUUUUUACGGGGGGCGGGAGUUGGGAAAUUUGGCCAAUGGCGGGAACCCCCCUCCCGCCAAGGGGGGGGGGGGGAAGAAGGCCUUUUAGUUCAAAAACCACUUUAAGGGGGGGGGGGGGCUUUCCUUGUUAAUCCCGGGAUAAGGGGCCGUUCCUACCAGAAAAAGCACCGGAUAAUUUUGUGCCAGCAGGCGCGGUAAUACAGAGGGUGCAAGCGUUAAUUUGAUUUACUGGGAGUAAAGCGCGCGUAGGUGGCUAAUUAAGUCAAAUGAGAAAUCCCCGAGCUUAACUUGGGAAUCGCAUUCGAUACUGGUUAGCUAGAGUAUGGGAGAGGAUGGUAGAAUCCCAGGUGUAGCGGUGAAAUGCGUAGAGAUCUGGAGGAAUACCGAUGGCGAAGGCAGCCAUCUGGCCUAAUACUGACACUGAGGUGCGAAAGCAUGGGGAGCAAACAGGAUUAGAUACCCUGGUAGUCCAUGCCGUAAACGAUGUCUACUAGCCGUUGGGGCCCUUGAGGCUUUAGUGGCGCAGCUAACGCGAUAAGUAGACCGCCUGGGGAGUACGGUCGCAAGACUAAAACUCAAAUGAAUUGACGGGGGCCCGCACAAGCGGUGGAGCAUGUGGUUUAAUUCGAUGCAACGCGAAGAACCUUACCUGGCCUUGACAUACAGAGAACUUUCCAGAGAUGGAUUGGUGCCUUCGGGAACUCUGAUACAGGUGCUGCAUGGCUGUCGUCAGCUCG